rnacentral:rRNA from 1 species
CCUACGGGUGGCAGCAGUGAGGAAUAUUGGUCAAUGGGCGGGAGCCUGAACCAGCCAAGUCGCGUGAGGGAAGACGGUCCUAUGGAUUGUAAACCUCUUUAGGCGGGGAGCAAUGCCGGGCACGUGUGCCCGGAGGUAGAGUACCCGCAGAAUAAGCAUCGGCUAACUCCGUGCCAGCAGCCGCGGUAAUACGGAGGAUGCGAGCGUUAUUCGGAUUUAUUGGGUUUAAAGGGUGCGUAGGCGGACUGGAAAGUCAGCGGUAAAAUCGAGAGGCUCAACCUCUUUCCGCCGUUGAAACUGUCGGUCUUGAGUGGGCGAGAAGUAGGCGGAAUGCGUGGUGUAGCGGUGAAAUGCAUAGAUAUCACGCAGAACUCCGAUUGCGAAGGCAGCAUACCGGCGCCCGACUGACGCUGAGGCACGAAAGCGUGGGUAUCGAACAGGAUUAGAUACCCUGGUAGUC